rnacentral:rRNA from 1 species
GCAAGCGUUGUCCGGAUUCAUUGGGCGUAAAGAGCGUGUAGGCGGCCAGGUAGGUCGGUUGUGAAAACUGGAGGCUCAACCUUCAGAGGUCGACCGAAACCAUCUGGCUAGAGUCCGGGAGAGGAGAGUGGAAUUCCUGGUGUAGCGGUGAAAUGCGCAGAUAUCAGGAAGAACACCCGUGGCGAAAGCGGCUCUCUGGAACGGUACUGACGCUGAGACGCGAAAGCGUGGGGAGCGAACAGG